AUUGAACGCUGGCGGCAUGCCUUACACAUGCAAGUCGAACGGCAGCACGGGAGCAAUCCUGGUGGCGAGUGGCGAACGGGUGAGUAAUAUAUCGGAACGUGCCCAGUCGUGGGGGAUAACGCAGCGAAAGCUGUGCUAAUACCGCGUACGAUCUACGGAUGAAAGCGGGGGAUCGCAAGACCUCGCGCGAUUGGAGCGGCCGAUAUCAGAUUAGCUAGUUGGUGGGGUAAAGGCCCACCAAGGCGACGAUCUGUAGCUGGUCUGAGAGGACGACCAGCCACACUGGAACUGAGACACGGUCCAGACUCCUACGGGAGGCAGCAGUGGGGAAUUUUGGACAAUGGGCGCAAGCCUGAUCCAGCGAUGCCGCGUGCAGGAUGAAGGCCUUCGGGUUGUAAACUGCUUUGUACGGAACGAAACGGCUCCUUCUAAUACAAGGGGCUAAUGACGGUACCGUAAGAAUAAGCACCGGCUAACUACGUGCCAGCCGCCGCCGUAAAAC
rnacentral:rRNA from 1 species